rnacentral:rRNA from 1 species
AUACGGAGGGUGCAAGCGUUAUUCGGAAUCACUGGGCGUAAAGGACGCGUAGGCGGGUUGGCAAGUCAGAUGUGAAAUCCUACAGCUUAACUGUAGAACUGCAUUUGAAACUGCUAACCUAGAGUAUGGAAGGGGCAGAUGGAAUUAGUGGUGUAGGGGUAAAAUCCGUAGAUAUCACUAGGAAUACCGAAAGCGAAGGCGAUCUGCUGGGACAUUACUGACGCUGAGGCGUGAAAGCGUGGGGAGCAAACAGGAUUAGAAACCCCAGUAGUCC